AAAUACACAAGCAGGGGAAGAAGAUUGUAAUAUGAAUGCAUUUCGGGAUGAAUUAGCUAAUGCUUUGUACAACAAAUCGUAGAUUAUUUGUAUGAUUGUAUUGUAAUGAUGUUGACAACAUUUUUGUAGUAUCUGCGUUCUAUCGUGUGUACAGGACAAUCUAAAUAAUUUGAAUAUUUUUUAUUUCAUUUCAUCGUUCUUUCAUUUGGCCGAAUGAAAAAAAAAAGAAGGCCACUUCACCUGCCGCCAAAGACCGAGCAGCACAAGCACCAGAAUGAGCACAAGCA
rnacentral:lncRNA from 1 species